rnacentral:lncRNA from 1 species
CUCAUCUAAUGUCACUGGUCUCUUCUAGAUUUCAAACCCUUUCUAGUACCUACCUGCUCUUACUUACUCUCCAAUACUUUCAGGUGGUGGUUCUAAAAUACUUGGUCCAGAGUUUCUCAUUAUUAUUUGCAAUAGGACCUCCUCAGCCAUUACUGGAAGUGGAAACUGUCCUCGUGGGAAUGUCCAGUUCCGACCACAAUUGAGAGAAGACCUGAGUGGAGACAUAAUUUAGGCUUUCUUGCAAAUCAUAUGACAACUUAUGAAAAUUCGUGUGUAAGUGUGACCCUAUAAUGGUUUUUGUGUCUUUUUUUUUUUUUUUUUUUUUUUUUUUUGGACGGAGUCUCACUCUGUCGCCCAGGCUGGAGUGCAGUGGCGCGAUCUCGGCUCACUGCAAGCUCUGCCUCCCGGGUUCACGCCAUUCUCCUGCCUCAGUCUCCCGAGUAGCUGGGACUACAGGCACCCGCCACCACACCCGGCUAUUUUUUUUUUUUUGUAUUUUUUUAGUAGAGACGGGGUUUCACCAUAUUAGCCAGGAUGGUCUCGAUCUCCUGACCUCAUGAUUCACCCGCUUCGGGCUCCCAAAGUGCUGGGAUUACAGGCGUGAGCCACCGCGCCCGGCCUUUUGUGUCAUUUUUUAAAGAGUGUCUUACAUCUAAACAAGUUAAUUUCCUCUCAGAGGCCAUUUGCCA